UACGGAGGGUGCGAGCGUUGUCCGGAAUCACUGGGCGUAAAGGGCGCGUAGGUGGCCUGAUAAGUAGGGGGUGAAAUCUUGCGGCUUAACCGCAAGGCUGCCUUCUAAACUGUCGGGCUAGAGCACAGUAGAGGCAGGUGGAAUUCCCGGUGUAGCGGUGGAAUGCGUAGAUAUCGAGAGGAACACCAGUGGCGAAGGCGAGUCCCUGGACACUUCCUGACACUGAGGCACGAAAGCUAGGGGAGCAAACAGG
rnacentral:rRNA from 1 species